CAGAAAAUAAUUUAAAUAAAAAUUUUAGUUUUGGGAAUUAAAAAUAAGAGUUGGUCUCUUUUUUCUGA
rnacentral:tRNA from 1 species